rnacentral:lncRNA from 1 species
CGCGACGACGAGUGGAGGAUCAGCUGAUUGGUGGCGAUAAAUCGUGCGACCGAGACGGGGGAGAGCAAGGCCGUGCGGUGAGGAACUUCAGUCGUUGUUGCAUCGAUAGCUCGUGCGACCGCAUCGGGGAAGAGACGUCCGUGCGAGGAGGGAGCCUAGAUGCUUGCUGCUGAUAGCUCGCGCGACUGCGGCCUGUGCAGCAGAGGCGCGUCCGCACGACUAUGGAGCUAAGCCGCUAGGUGAGUCCCUCCAAAAACUAUGCUCGUGUUGUCCUCCCUCUGUUUUUAAUCGCUCCCUCUGUUAUCCUCCCAGUCGUGUGUGGGGUGGUGCUGGGGGAGGGUGUGGAGAGGAGAGAGCCCGGAGAGGAAGAGGCACGCACAGCGGGAGACAUUUUUGUUCAUCAAUCCUGUGGGUUGAGUAGUUACAUAGCAACAGCUAGGCUAUGUGGAUUCAUAGGGAGCAUUCAGAUGCAAUUUUCCUAUCCAUCAAAUGGAUUUCAUUUAUUUGAUGGACAAUUUUUUGGGAAUUCACAUAGCUAGCGACCAUGGGGAUAUAUGCAGGGAUUGAGAUUGAGAGGCAAACUUAUUUUGACUUUUUUUUGCAGACAAUGAAUUGGAAAUUUUAUUCAACAUACCUGGGGCUAUUUAUUGAUUCUGUGCAUUAUUGCAAGCAUUAGUUAGGCAAUUAUAUGCUUGGCAGAUGAUAUUUUCCAAAAUAACACUUGGGGUAAGAACAAGGUUGUGUGAACUGAACUAAACAAGGCAAGACAUUUCAAUUAUAUUUUUUGUAUAGUGGCCUGAGCAAGGUUGUCUGCACAAUCAUAUAUGUUGCUGCAUGUAGCACUGCCUGCUGCAAAGUUUCGUUGAUAUUGGUAUUCUUUUCAAUAUUGAUUGAAGAAUCAUCACAAAGAGUCCUUACCAUGGUUUGUUGCAUGUACUGGUUCUCUCUCACAUGCCUGAAUCUGUAUGGGAAAUUUUCAGAGUUGUUAACAUGCAUUAGUUAUGCAAUUAUACUUGGUAUGAUGCAUGUACUGGUUUGUUCUUGCAGGCCUUAAUUAGUACAUGAUUUUUUUUCAUAGAGUCCUUAACAUGCAUCAGCUAUGCAAGUAUAUGUUAAACAGAGGAGGGACAUUUUGUUCAUCAGAUGGGGGCCAUUUUAUUUUGGAUUUGGCUAACAGAGUAGGAACUUUUUACUGUCAUUAAAACCUUUUCCCCCUUUAUCUUGUGCCAUCCCCCGUAUACUUGCCAAUUUGUUCCCCUUUACCAUCUGCAGGGCUAACUGGUCAUGGCCACUACUCUUUAUUUUCUCUUUUUUGUCACAGCUGAAGGCUUAGUCCAGCACAACAAUGGAUGCAACCUGUCCGUGGGACUAUCCGCGACUUAGAAGUUCAAUUCGACAAAGCUGCCAACAUCUUUCCGUGCAAAAGUACAAAAACUCAAACCCUCACCCCCAUCUCGUUUUGGUGUCCUUUAUUUAAAGCAUGGCAAAAAAAAUGUGCCGCCUCUGUUUUAUAUAGACCAAUUUUUCACUAGGACAGAAAUAUUGCCUACAAAGGCAAACUAAAGUAGCAUGUAAUAGUAAACCAUGUGUUGCAGAAAUGCACACCAUGCUGCCUGCAUGGCAAAGCACAAGAAGAUUGACUUGUUCCAUUGGUCUAAUUUUUGGCAGCUUUAUAACUUGAUCAAUUC